rnacentral:rRNA from 1 species
CCUACGGGAGGCUGCAGUGAGGAAUAUUGGUCAAUGGGCGAGAGCCUGAACCAGCCAAGUCGCGUGAGGGAAGACGGUCCUAUGGAUUGUAAACCUCUUUUGCCGGGGAGCAAAAAGCGGUACGUGUACCGCAUCGCGAGUACCCGGAGAAAAAGCAUCGGCUAACUCCGUGCCACCAGCCGCGGUAAGACGGGGGAGACGAGCGUUGUACGGAUUGAUUGGGUUUAACGGUGGCGCAGGCGGAGCGUUAGGUCAGUGGUAAAAUUGCGGGGCUCAACCCCGACGAGCCGCUGAAACUGGCAUGCGUGAGUGGGCGAGAAGGAUGCGGAAUGCGUGGUGUAGCGGUGAAAUGCAUAGAGAUCACGCAGAACUCUGAUUGCGAAGGCAGCAUACCGGCGCCCAAAUGACGCUCAGGCACGAAAGCGUGGGUAUCGAACAGGAUUAGAUACCCCAGUAGUC